GGUUCCGUAGUGUAGUGGUUAUCACGUUCGCUUUACACGCGAAAGGUCCCCGGUUCGAUCCCGGGCGGAACCA
rnacentral:tRNA from 12 species